rnacentral:rRNA from 1 species
CUACACGGCCCAGACUCCUACGGGAGGCAGCAGUGGGGAAUAUUGCGCAAUGGGCGAAAGCCUGACGCAGCGACGCCGCGUGAGGGUCGAAGGCCUUAGGGUUGUAAACCUCUUUCAGCAGGGACGAAGGGCAACUGACGGUACCUGCAGAAGAAGCACCGGCUAACUACGUGCCAGCAGCCGCGGUAAUACGUAGGGUGCAAGCGUUGUCCGGAUUUAUUGGGCGUAAAGAGCUCGUAGGCGGCCUGUCACGUCGGAUGUGAAAACCCGGGGCUCAACCACGGGCCUGCAUUCGAUACGGGCAGGCUAGAGGAUGGUAGGGGAGACUGGAAUUCCUGGUGUAGCGGUGAAAUGCGCAGAUAUCAGGAGGAACACCGGUGGCGAAGGCGGGUCUCUGGGCCAUUCCUGACGCUGAGGAGCGAAAGCGUGGGGAGCGAACAGGAUUAGAUACCCUGGUAGUCCACGCCGUAAACGGUGGGCGCUAGGUGUGGGGACCCUUCCACGGUCUCCGUGCCGCAGCUAACGCAUUAAGCGCCCCGCCUGGGGAGUACGGCCGCAAGGCUAAAACUCAAAGGAAUUGACGGGGGCCCGCACAAGCGGCGGAGCAUGCGGCUUAAUUCGAUGCAACGCGAAGAACCUUACCUGGGCUUGACAUGGAGGGAAAUCUCAUAGAGAUAUGAGGUCCGUAAGGGCCCUCUGCAGGUGGUGCAUGGCUGUCGUCAGCUCGUGUCGUGAGAUGUUGGGUUAAGUCCCGCAACGAGCGCAACCCUCGUUCUAUGUUGCCAGCACGUAAUGGUGGGGACUCAUAGGAGACUGCCGGGGUCAACUCGGAGGAAGGUGGGGAUGACGUCAAGUCAUCAUGCCCCUUAUGUCCAGGGCUGCACGCAUGCUACAAUGGCCGGUACAAAGGGCUGCGAUACCGCAAGGUGGAGCGAAUCCCAAAAAGCCGGUCUCAGUUCGGAUUGGGGUCUGCAACUCGACCCCAUGAAGUCGGAGUCGCUAGUAAUCGCAGAUCAGCAACGCUGCGGUGAAUACGUUCCCGGGCCUUGUACACACCGCCCGUCACGUCACGAAAGUCGGUAACACCCGAAGCCGGUGGCCCAACCCUUGUGGAGGGAGCCGUCGAAGGUGGGACUGGCGAUUGGGACGAAGUCGGAACAAGGUAGCCGUACCGGAGGUGCGGCUG